AUCAUGAGUCCGCAUGUUCACAUGAUUAAAGGUAUUCCGGUAGACGAUGGGGAUGCGUUCCAUUAGAUAGUAGGCGGGGUAACGGCCCACCUAGUCUUCGAUGGAUAGGGGUUCUGAGAGGAAGGUCCCCCACAUUGGAACUGAGACACGGUCCAAACUCCUACGGGAGGCAGCAGUGAGGAAUAUUGGUCAAUGGGCGAGAGCCUGUACCAGCCAAGUAGCGUGAAGGAUGACUGCCCUAUGGGUUGUAAACUUCUUUUAUAUAAGAAUAAAGUGCAGUAUGUAUACUGUUUUGUAUGUAUUAUAUGAAUAAGGAUCGGCUAACUCCGUGCCAGCAGCCGCGGUAAUACGGAGGAUCCGAGCGUUAUCCGGAUUUAUUGGGUUUAAAGGGAGCGUAGGUGGACUGGUAAGUCAGUUGUGAAAGUUUGCGGCUCAACCGUAAAAUUGCAGUUGAUACUGUCAGUCUUGAGUACAGUAGAGGUGGGCGGAAUUCGUGGUGUAGCGGUGAAAUGCUUAGAUAUCACGAAGAACUCCGAUUGCGAAGGCAGCUCACUGGACUGCAACUGACACUGAUGCUCGAAAGUGUGGGUAUCAAACAGGAUUAGAUACCCUGGUAGUCCACAC
rnacentral:rRNA from 1 species